CAAGUGCGCAGUGCGGGAAAGACGCGCGGACAGAAGUGGUAAAUAAAAUAAUGGGCGGGCCACGCGCGGACUAAAAUAAGUGUCGGAUUCUGACUUCUCAUAAGGAGCGCGCAACCUAGAUCCUCGCAUGCGCAGUUUACAGUAGGCAAGGGCGCCGUAAAGGGGUGGAAGGUUAGGACGAUUCUAAGGGCCCAGGCUGAUUUAGGGCCCAGAAGAGCAGACCCCCUUUAUCUUUUCUUAUUUCUUUUCUCUUUUUUAUAAAUACAUUAAAUGUGCUGGGGCCCCUCAUGCACUAAAUGUUUAUUUUGCCCGUUUUGACCAUAGAUUUAAUAAUAAAACAAAAACAAAUAAUGUAUUUACUGUUUCAGUCACACCCCUCCCCCUCACAAUGGUUCAUUCCACCUGCGCUGUCCGAGCUACGAUCGCUAGUGUAGCGUCUCUUGCUUAUUGCACUUGCUAUGAUGCAGUGCAGACAGUGACACACGCAGGCAUGUCACAUCAAAAGUCAGGGCAUCAAAAACGGAAAGAAAAGAAGGAAAGAGAAGACAGAGAACGCCGAAGUCGACAGUAUGUCACACAGUUUUUCAAAAAGAAAGGUAGCUUGCCCUAUUCCUGUAUUCCAAAACUUUCAGAGUUACUUAUUUUUGUUGCUACAUGACCUGCUUUUAUCUAGCUAGCUUAGUAAAAUAAUUACUGAAUUAUGAUUUACAUCCAACAAUAAUAACAUCUCUGCUGUCUCCGGGGUUAUCAUGUCUCGUAGACACAGAUUCAGCGGCUGCUGCACACCCACGUCCUCCUUCCCCCACGUCCCCCGUCCCCGUCUCAGCCGAACAAGAUGCAGAGUCAGCUUUAUUGUCUGCACCUCGUUCUCCUAAUGACCCAGUCCUCUCAGUGUCAGGUAAGGUGAACAUGGUCAGCUACCAAGGUAGUAAAAAACUAAUUAAGUUUUGGAUUGUCUAAUUUUUUCUUAUGUUGUAUAGUUAUAUGUUUCAUAUAAUAUUAUUCAACAAUGCAGUUAAGAAAAUAUUAAUUCUAAGCUGUAACUUGUUGUUGACUGGGGGACAAAAAUGAUUUUGCUAUCCUAACCCCACAGAAACAAGAGAGAGACAGAGAGUUUUACCAGGAAAGAGUGUGGAAGUUGAGGAAGCGGUGAGAAUAGUGGAAUAUGAGAGCACAGAGGGAGCCCUAAGUGUAAAGGAAGAUAACAGAAGAGAGGAAGAUGAGAGAACAGAGGAAGCCAUGAGAGCAGACUCAGAGGAAGAUGAGAGAACAGGGGAAGCCAUGAGAGCAGACUCAGAGCAAGAUGAGAGAACAGGGGAAACCAUGAGUGCAGACUCAGAGGAAGAUGAGAGAACAGGGGAAGCCAUGAGAGCAGACUCAGAGGAAGAUGAAGAAGAGACUGUUGUGUCAAAUGAUCCUGGUUUGUGGCCAGCAAAAAUUAGCAAUGCAGACAGAGAAAAAAUUGUGGAAAAAAUAGCUUCUUCUAAAGAUAAAGAACAAGAAAUUCCACAUGAUUCAAAAGGUAAAGCCUUCCCCGAAUACCUCAAGUACACAAAGCCAGGAAAUU